AUUGAACGCUGGCGGCGUGCUUAACUCAUGCAAGUCGAUCGGUAACAGGUGUAGCAAUACAUGCUGACGAGAGGCGGACGGGUGAGGAAUAUUUGGGAAUCUGCCCAUCAGCGGGGGACAACCCGGGGAAACCCGGGCUAAUACCGCAUACGCUCUACGGAGGAAAGCCGGGGACCGCAAGGCCUGGCACUGAUGGAUGAGCCCAAAUCGGAUUAGCUAGUUGGCGGGGUAACGGCCAACCAAGGCGACGAUCCGUAGCUGGUCUGAGAGGACGAUCAGCCACACCGGAACUGAGACACGGUCCGGACUCCUACGGGAGGCAGCAGUGGGGAAUAUUGGACAAUGGGGGAAACCCUGAUCCAGCGACGCCGCGUGGGUGAAGAAGGCCUGCGGGUUGUAAAGCCCUUUCGGUAGGGACGAAAGCUCUUGCUCUAAUAACGCAAGAGGUUGACUUAACCUACAUAAGAAGCACCGGCUAACUCUGUGCCAGCAGCCGCCGCAG
rnacentral:rRNA from 1 species